AAGAGAUAUUUUAUAUUAGUUCUAAAUGUUCAUGUUUACUUCUAACAUAUAUAAAUGUUAAAAACUAUGUAACUUGUGUAAAGAAAGCUUGAGCUUUAUACAUUAUUAUAAAGUUAUCAAAACAUAUUCUAUUUGUUAUAUGCAAAGGGGAAAAUAUAUUGGUGGACUUAUGAAGUUUAUUUAUGUUAUGAUCUACUUUCUUUCCCUAUUUCAUGUUGCAACAAGCGCUAACCGUAAGCCAUUUUUCAUUCUUCUAAAAUGUUCUUAUUUACUUCUAACAUAUAUAUAUAUAUAUAUGAAUUUAAUUUAUAUGCACCGUCAGUGUAAAGUUAUUUUGCACAUUCGUCCAAUAAUAUAACGACACAUCAUGUAUGGUAAUUAAAAACACAUGAUGUGUCACAUUCAUUAAGUGAUGUGGCAACGCGUCAUUGAAUGUAUGUGUAAAAAACUUUUACACCUUUAAUUAAUAAUAACAUUCUUGUGUUAUAAUUUUCAUUACAGUUGAUUGUCGUAAUGACGGUGACUGUAUACAUAUUAAGUGUAAGUCUGGUUGGGUUGCGAAGUGUACUGCUACUCAUUGGUGUAACUGUAUUCCUCCAUCUGGAUCUGCACAUCCUUGGAGAACAAGACCCAAGAGAGUGCAAAAACAAAUUAUAGGGGAAAAUGAUUUAUGGCACUAGAAAAAGAUCUAUGAAACUUCGUUUAAGAUAAAAUAUACCAUAUAAUAAGUCAGUUAAUACUUGUAUUUGUGUUAUGAGAGUGGAAGACUAUGUAGAUAAUAUUAAAAUUGCAACAUGAAAUAAAUAAUAGUAUCUAGAUUGUCUUCCACUCUUAAUUUUUUCGAUUGUAACUAAAAAUAUGCUAUUUUAUUUACUUUCUAUGAUUGUAGGAUGAUGAAUAAUUUGGCAAAUAUUGUAUCAAAAUACUUUAAGUAAUAAAAAAAUAUGUAUUCACGGGAGAUUGUUUCAAUUCCGACAAAACAAUUAUAUUAUAUUUAAGAUGUAAAUGUUGGGGGGUAAUGCUGAGCAUAUAUUGAUUUAUGAGAGAAAAUACUAAAAAUUGGUGGUACUGAUUUAAUUAUCAGAGUGUGUGAAGGUACUGCCCCUCCUUCACAACGGGUACAACCACCAACGAUCCAAAUAAAUGAUUGAUAUUUACAACCUACCAUCCAGAUCUUAGGUCCGCAGAGAAUCAAUAUUAAUUAACAAUAUAUUUUUAUGUUACUUUAUAUUUAUCAAAUAGUUCGAUUGUACUGCCGUGUACGAGUUCCACUGUCUCUACACCAUGUUGAUUGUUUCGUCGUUGGUAGUUUUUGCUCUGCCGAUUUCUCUCUUCCCGUCUGAUAUCUCACAUAUCAACUCCCUCCGUCUCUUCUCUAUGUAAGCGGUUACAUUGUGCAAAACAAGUGGUGGAGAGAGGAUAGUAAAAGAAAAGGAAUUGAUCAUGUGAUUCAAACUAUAAAUAAGUUUGUAUUUCGUAAGUAUUGAUUAUAUGAGAAAGAAAUUCAUAACUCAAUUAUUAUGACAUAAAUAUCUGCAAUCUGAAUCGUUAAUAUAAGAGAUUAUAACAAGUUGUGUAAUCUUCAAAAAUGAAAAGGUGAAUAUAUUAGUAAAUUGCUAAUAUUUUCAAUUCAAUGAAAAUGGAAGCACCAAUGCUGAAAGUGACGGUUAAAAGCUACCUAAAAUCAAUUUAAAAUAACAUUAAAUACAAAAAUUCUGAACUGUCAUCGACAAGCUGCCUGGCAAAUGACAAGUGAGAAUUCAGUUUAUCAAUCAGAAGAAAUAAACUUAUGCUUAUUAGAGCAUUUAAAAUGGAGAUACUCAUUUCUGAGUACUUAACUGGACCCCAAGUUGUACACAUCACUCAUUUUUAAUUUAUUAAUAAUAGUACCUAAUAAGUAUCCAAUCCCACCAACCCAACAUCUAUUGAAAAGUUCUAAAUAGGCCCUACUAAUAACACAUCUCACCAAUAACUAUACAUCAUUAUAAAUGGGACCCACAAAAACAAAACAGGUACUAAUGCUUAUUGUAGAACCAGUACCUAUUAGGUACUCAAAUGAACAUUGUUUCAAUGGUAGUACCUAAUAAGUAUCAUGAGUACCUAAUAAGUACGUACUACAUCAUUGGAGAUGGUCUUAUAUGACGUUUAUACACAUUCAAAAUUUUACUGUAGUAUAUAAAUUAUACUAUCUAUAAAAAGCUAAAAGUCAUUUGCUAAAGGUCAAAGAUCAUUCUCUUCAUUAUCAUUGAUAUAGAAACAAUCAAGAUUAGUUUGCAGAUGGAAAGAGACUAAACAUUGAAAAUAAAAUUAAUAACACGAGAUCCUCAAAUGAUAUCUUAAUGUACUUGACAACAAUAGUGAUCUUAGAAGAAUAUUUCUCCUUUCGACCCCACUCCGAGAGGUUGCUUAACGCAAGGCAAUGAUCCAACGGUUAAGAGUUUAGUCCAGGACUCCUUCAUACCAAAUUCACCUAAAAUUGAUAUGUGAAAAGUUGUAUCUUCAUGAUAUGAGAACAAUGCAAUUGACCUAUUUAACAAUGCCAAGUUUAUCCAUGAUGUUUCAUCAAAUUCAAAAUAAUCAUCAUCUGAGGGUAUGGGUGUUAUGAAGAAUUCCCCAUUGCUUAAGUAAAAUGACACCACACAUUGUUCAUCUGGUCUAUCUUCAAAACAAAACCAAUGACACACCCCAUCCAUGUAGACUUGAGUUCCCUCUAUGUAAUCUGAAGAAUACGGCAUGUCAAAAACAUCAAGUUUCUUCCAAGAGUUACUUCUUAAGCUAUAUAUCUCCCAAAAGGGAUAUAAAUCUACAUAUUCCAACUCCUCUAUAGAUAUAUAUCCGUAACCAACAUGUUCGCCUGUAAUAGAUACAUAUCUGUUGGAUAUUCCGCCUUCAUUGCGGUCCGCCCCCAUCCGCCUAAUUGCGGCAUUUGAGUUGCCUUCAUUGCAGCCUCCAACACCUUCAUUGUGUUGGGUGUGAAGGGGUGGAUUUAGUCCCACAUUGCUANNNNNNNNNNNNNNNNNNNNNNNNNNNNNNNNNNNNNNNNNNNNNNNNNNNNNNNNNNNNNNNNNNNNNNNNNNNNNNNNNNNNNNNNNNNNNNNNNNNNNNNNNNNNNNNNNNNNNNNNNNNNNNNNNNNNNNNNNNNNNNNNNNNNNNNNNNNNNNNNNNNNNAGGAGAAUGAUCCCAACUUUACCAAAUGGGAUGAGGAAGAUUCAAGGAUCAUGGCAUGGCUGUGGAACUCCAUGGAUCCGGACAUCAGUGACACGUGCAUGUUUCUAAGUACAGCAAAGGAGAUUUGGGAUGCUAUGGAGGAAAGUUAUUCCAAAGCCAAAGAUGCUGCUCAAGUGUAUGAAGUAAAGGUGAAAACUUUGGCAGCAAAGCAAGGAAACAGAACUGUCACUGAUUAUGCCAAUCAGCUAAAGGCACUAUGGAUGGAACUUGAUCAUUAUAGGGUCAUAAAGACUCGGUGCUCUGCAGAUUCAGCAAUUCUGAAGAAGUUCAUUGAGCAAGACAGGGUGUAUGACUUUCUGGUUGGUUUGAACUCUGAAUUUGACCAAGUUAGAAUUCAAAUAUUGGGAAAACAGGAAGUUCCAAGCUUUAAUGAAGUGAUAGCCAUUGUGAGAAGCGAAGAAAGCAGAAGGAGUCUGAUGUUAGACACUCCAAUAAUUGAGAAUUCAGCUAUGAUGGCUGAUCUUAACAAAGGAGAGGAUACAACAAUGAGUGUUGACCGAAGAAAGGGAGAAUCAACAAAUAUUGAGAGGAAAGGUGAUGAUACUCGGUGUACCUAUUGUCACAAGCCUCGUCAUAUUAGGGAAAAUUGCUGGAAGUUGCAUGGAAAACCACAAAAUAGAGAUAAAGCAUNNNNNNNNNNNNNNNNNNNNNNNNNNNAAUGAAGAAUUUUUUGAGUAAACUAGAGAAACCAUCAGGUUCCAGCUCCUUGGCAUAUUCAGGUAAACUUUUAUCUCUUAAUUAUGAUAAGCUUCCAAUUUCUUUUGGAUUAAAUGUCUCAGAUGCAUCCUUUAACCACUGUUGGAUAUUAGACUCCGGAGCCACUGACCACAUGACACCUUUACCUCGCCAUUUUUGUACCUAUUCUCCGUGUCCAAGCAACAAGAAAAUUGCCACUGCUGACGGCACUCUUAUAACUGUUGCUGGCCAAGGGGAUGUACAAAUUAAUCAUUCAAUGACCCUAAAAAAUGUUCUCCAUAUUCCAAAAUUAGCUAUUAACCUGAUAUCAAUACAGAAACUCACACAAGACUUGUCAUGUAAUGUUAUUUUUCAUAACCAUGAUUGUGUGUUACAGGACAAGAUUUCGGGGAGGACGAUUGGACAUGCUAGAGAAUGGAUUGGCCUUUACUAUCUAGAAAAUCCUGAUUUAUUUUCCAAGAAAGACUUACCGCAUUCCCUCAUUUCUGUUUUGACAAACAAGGAAAAAAUUCUCCUUUAUCAUUGUCGUUUAGGACAUCCUUCCUUCCAAAUAAUAAAAAUGUUAUUUCCUUCUUUUUUCUCUAAGUUAGAUGUUGAGAGUCUUCAUUGUGAGGUGUGUGAGCUUGCUAAACACAAGUGUGUAUCAUUUCCAAUGAGCAAUAAAAUAAGUACUUUUCCUUUUUAUCUUGUGACCUUAAAACAUUUAGGGUAUUUAGGUGAAUUCUUAACAUCUCUUAGAAAUAACGAACUAGGAAACUAAAUUUGUAGAUCUAUGUAAAACCCUUAAUUUCAGGGACGGAACUAGAAAAAUUCAUCUAAGGUGGCAAAAAUUUAACACAUUAUAAAUUACAUCAUCGGUCACUUAUUUGUACUAUUAAUAAUUUUAAAUAAGUUUUUUUAAAUUUUUAAAAUAUCAAUAUAGCAUAUAAAAAUUAAUUCUAGUUUUUUUGUCAAGUAAUCUAAUCGCUAAAAUUUCACAUUUUUAAGGUGAAUAGACUUUAGUAAAAAAAAACAAAGGUGAAUAAGCUGAGUGUCGGGGUGUCCGGAGUUUAAACCCCAACUAUUACAUAUAUAAUAUGAUAUUUCUAUCAACUAAACUUACCAGAUUAAUCUCUAUUUUAUCUUCUAAUUUAAAAUAAAGUAACCAAAAUUGACUAUUUAUUAUUUACACUACAAUGGCCAAAAAUCAAGUGGUGGCAAAUGACAAUGGACUGCUUCGGUCAGUUUUUGUCUUAGGGGAGGUAUAUAUAAAAUGAAAUCAUUGUUAUUUUACGGUAGUUACUAGUUUAUAAGUGUCAUUGUUUAUUGCAGGGGGCGAACACUUAUUUUUUGUCAGUAUAUGAACAAGGGCGAAUACCAUGUAUAUAAGUGGUAUACAAUAGUAUCAUGUAUGUUUAAGGGUGGCGACCGCCACCUUUGAAACAUACCUAGUUCCGUCCCUGCUUAAUUUUGUGGUUUGUUCUUGGAUGCAAACCACGAUUUAAAUCUUUCCUACCAUAUUCUAGCAGGAAACAAUAAAGCAAAGUACAAAGAAAAGAAGAAUGUAAUUUACCUUUGAACAAAGCAGUGAAGAAGCUGCCAACGGGGAAACACUUGAAGCUACCAUAUUCAACCACAUAACCUCCCCAUUGGAGCAAAUCUCGUUCUGGCCAUUCAGAGAAAUUUUAAAACAAAAAGUCAUUUUCGAAAAGAUUCAAAAAAUCCAAUUCAAAACUCCUUUCUUAUAUUUUUCACAAGUUUGGAAGGUAUACAUGGUCAAACAAUACCAUUAAUAUUUUUUUCAAUAUCAUCAAAGGUUAAAACAUAUAAAUUAUGUCUAAGAGAUAUUUUAUAUUAGUUCUAAUUAAUUAAUUUAGGAAUAUUUUAUGUUUACAAUUCUAUAAAAACAAUCAAUGAUGACUCUCUUUGCAAUUCUAUAAGUGUGUUAUAAAGUUAUCAAAUCAUACUCUAUUUGUUAUAUGCAAAGGGGAAAAUAUAUUGCUAGAUUUAUGAAGUUUAUUUAUGUUAUGAUCUAUUUUCUUUUCUUAUUUCUUGUUGCAACAAAAAGUAAACGUAAGCCAUUUUUCAUUCUUCUAAAAUGUUCUUAUUUACUUCUAACAUAUAUUCCCCUUUAAUUAAUAAUAACAUUCUUGUUUUAUAAUUAUAAUUACAGUUGACUGUCGUAAUGACCUUGAUUGUAAAGAUAUUAAGUGUAAGCCUGGUUGGGUUGCACAAUGUAGUGUUACUAAUCGAUGUAGAUGUGUUCCUUCAUCUAAACCUGGAUCUGGACAUCCUUGGAGAACAAGACCCAAGAAAGUGCACAAAUUUUUUAUGAGAGUGGAAGACGAUGAUUUAUAGCACUAGCAAAAGAUCUAUUAAACCUUGUUUAGGAUAAUAAGUCAUUUAAUACUUGUAUUUGUGUUAUGAGAGUGGAAGACGAUGUAGAUAAUAUUAAAAUUGCAACAUGAAAUAAAUAAUAAAUAAUAUUAUUUACAUUGUCUUUCAUUCUCUUAGUUUCUCCGAU
rnacentral:lncRNA from 1 species